rnacentral:rRNA from 1 species
GUGAAGAGUCUAAAUACUCUGAAAGCACCAGAUUCAAUCUGAUCAUGGAAGCUAACCAGGCUCAGCUCUGGUUAGUACUUGGAUGGGAGAUCAGAAAUGAAUACCAGGUGCCAUAGGCU